rnacentral:rRNA from 1 species
AUUGAACGCUGGCGGCAGGCCUAACACAUGCAAGUCGAACGAGUGGCGGACGGGUGAGUAAUGUCUGGGAAACUGCCUGAUGGAGGGGGAUAACUACUGGAAACGGUAGCUAAUACCGCAUACCAUCAGAUGUGCCCAGAUGGGAUUAGCUUGUGGGUGGGGUAACGGCUCACCAAGGCGACGAUCCCUAGCUGGUCUGAGAGGAUGACCAGCCACACGGGAACGGAGACACGGUCCGGACUCCUACGGGGGGCAGCAGUGGGGAAUAUUGCACAAGGGGCGCAAGCCUGAUGCAGCCAGGCCGCGUGAAGGAAGAAGGCCUUCGGGUUGUAAAGUACUUUCAGCGGGGAGGCGUUACCCGCAGAAGAGGCACCGGCAAACUCCGGGCCAGCAGCCGCGGUAAUAC